AUUGAACGCUGGCGGCAGGCCUAACACAUGCAAGUCGAACGAGUGGCGGACGGGUGAGUAAUGUCUGGGAACGGCCCGAUGGAGGGGGAUAACUAUUGGAAACGAUAGCUAAUACCGCAUACUGUGAGAUGGACCUGCGUUGGUUUAGCUAGUUGGUGAGGUAAAGGCUCACCAAGGCGACGAUACAUAGCCGACCUGAGAGGGUGAACGGCCACACUGGGACUGAGAAACGGGCCAGACUCCUCCGGGAGGCAGCAGUAGGGAAUCUUCGGCAAUGGGCGGAAGGCUGACCCAGCAACGCCGCGUGAUGGAAGAAGGUUUUCGGAUCGUAAAGCUCUGUUGUUAGAGAAGCGGUAACUAACCAGAAAGGGACGGCUAACUACGUGCCAGCAGCCGCGGUAAUUC
rnacentral:rRNA from 1 species